UAACAGAUGGAUGGUGCUGUGCUGGUUAGAUUAGUGGGUUCUGGGGUUUGAUAACAGAUGGAUGGAGCUGUGCUGGUUAGAUUAGUAGGUUCUGGGGUUUGAUAACAGAUGGAUGGUGCUGUGCUGGUUAGAUUAGUAGGUUCUGGGGUUUGAUAACAGAUGGACGGCACUGUGCUGGUUAGAUUAGUGGGUUCUGGGGUUUGUUAACAGAUGGACAGCGCUGUGCUGGUUAGAUUAGUGGGUUCUGGGGUUUGAUAACAGAUGGAUGGUGCUGUGCUGGUUAGAUUAGUAGGUUCUGGGGUUUGAUAACAGAUGGACGGCACUGUGCUGGUUAGAUUAGUGGGUUCUGGGGUUUGUUAACAGAUGGACAGCGCUGUGCUGGUUAGAUUAGUGGGUUCUGGGGUUUGAUAACAGAUGGAUGGAGCUGUGCUGGUUAGAUUAGUAGGUUCUGGGGUUUGAUAACAGAUGGAUGAUGCUGUGCUGGUUAGAUUAGUAGGUUCUGGGGUUUGAUAACAGAUGGAUGGUGCUGUGCUGGUUAGAUUAGUAGGUUCUGGGGUUUGAUAACAGAUGGAUGGAGCUGUGCUGAUUAGAUUAGUAGGUUCUGGGGUUUGAUAACAGAUGGAUGGAGCUGUGCUGGUUAGAUUAGUGGGUUCUGGAGUUUGAUAACAGAUGGAUGGUGCUGUGCUGAUUAGAUUAGUAGGUUCUGGGGUUUGAUAACAGAUGGAUGGUGCUGUGCUGGUUAGAUUAGUAGGUUCUGGGGUUUGAUAACAGAUGGAUGGAGCUGUGCUGAUUAGAUUAGUAAGUUCUGGGGUUUGAUAACAGAUGGAUGGAGCUGUGCUGGUUAGAUUAGUGGGUUCUGGAGUUUGAUAACAGAUGGAUGGUGCUGUGCUGAUUAGAUUAGUAGGUUCUGGGGUUUGAUAACAGAUGGAUGGUGCUGUGCUGGUUAGAUUAGUAGGUUCUGGUGUUUGAUAACAGAUGGAUGGAGCUGUGCUGGUUAGAUUAGUAGGUUCUGGGGUUUGAUAACAGAUGGAUGAUGCUGUGCUGUUAGAUUAGUAGGUUCUGGGGUUUGAUAACAGAUGGACGGCACUGUGCUGGUUAGAUUAGUAGAUUUUG